CUGGCCCUGAAUCAAGGUCGGCAGCUUCCUGAGGCUGUUGGUUUCGUCAAGCAGGAGCCUAAAGAGAUGUCUUUCUAUGGUCUGUUGGCCAUUUCAGGACUUGGGCAGUAAAAUGGUCAAUGCAUUAGAAAGAAACAGCU
ensembl:snoRNA small nucleolar RNA SNORA2/SNORA34 family